AUUGAACGCUGGCGGCAGGCCUAACACAUGCAAGUCGAACGAGUGGCGGACGGGUGAGUAAUGUCUGGGAAACUGCCCGUUGGCGGGGGAUAACUACUGGAAACGGUAGCUAAUACCGCAUACCAUCAGAUUUGCCCAGAUGGGAUUAGCUAGUUGGUGGGGUAACGGCUAACCAAGGCGACGAUCCCUAGCUGGUCUGAGAGGAAGACCGGCCACACUGGAACUGAGACACGGUCCAGACUCCUAGGGUAGGCAGCAGUGGGGAAUAUUGCACAAUGGGCGCAAGCCUGAGGCAGCCAUGCCGCGUGGAUGAAGAAGGCCUUCGGGUUUUAAAGUACUUUCAGCGGGAAGGCGUUACCCGCAGAAGAAGCACCGGCUAACUCCGUGCCAGCAGCCGCGGUAAUAC
rnacentral:rRNA from 1 species